rnacentral:rRNA from 1 species
GACGAACGCUGGCGGCGUGCUUAACACAUGCAAGUCGAACGGAAAGGCCCUGCUUUUGUGGGGUGCUCGAGUGGCGAACGGGUGAGUAACACGUGAGUAACCUGCCCUUGACUUUGGGAUAACUUCAGGAAACUGGGGCUAAUACCGGAUAGGAGCUCCUGCUGCAUGGUGGGGGUUGGAAAGUUUCGGCGGUUGGGGAUGGACUCGCGGCUUAUCAGCUUGUUGGUGGGGUAGUGGCUUACCAAGGCUUUGACGGGUAGCCGGCCUGAGAGGGUGACCGGCCACAUUGGGACUGAGAUACGGCCCAGACUCCUACGGAAGGCAGCAGUGGGGAAUAUUGCACAAGGGGCGGAAGCCUGAUGCAGCAACGCCGCGUGCGGGAUGACGGCCUUCGGGUUGUAAACCGCUUUCGCCUGUGACGAAGCGUGAGUGACGGUAAUGGGUAAAGAAGCACCGGCUAACUACGUG